ACUUCUUUAUCACCGAGUGCUUGCACUCACCGAUAAAGAGUUGAGUGGCGAACGGGUGAGUAACACGUGGGCAACCUGCCCAAAAGAGGGGGAUAACACUUGGAAACAGGUGCUAAUACCGCAUAACCAUAGUUACCGCAUGGUAACUAUGUAAAAGGUGGCUAUGCUACCGCUUUUGGAUGGGCCCGCGGCGCAUUAGCUAGUUGGUGGGGUAAAGGCUUACCAAGGCAAUGAUGCGUAGCCGAACUGAGAGGUUGAUCGGCCACAUUGGGACUGAGACACGGCCCAAACUCCUACGGGAGGCAGCAGUAGGGAAUCUUCCACAAUGGGCGAAAGCCUGAUGGAGCAACGCCGCGUGGGUGAAGAAGGUCUUCGGAUCGUAAAACCCUGUUGUUAGAGAAGAAAGUGCGUGAGAGUAACUGUUCACGUUUCGACGGUAUCUAACCAGAAAGCCACGGCUAACUACGUGCCAGCAGCCGCGGUAAUACGUAGGUGGCAAGCGUUAUCCGGAUUUAUUGGGCGUAAAGGGAACGCAGGCGGUCUUUUAAGUCUGAUGUGAAAGCCUUCGGCUUAACCGGAGUAGUGCAUUGGAAACUGGGAGACUUGAGUGCAGAAGAGGAGAGUGGAACUCCAUGUGUAGCGGUGAAAUGCGUAGGUAUAUGGAAGAACACCAGUGGCGAAAGCGGCUCUCUGGUCUGUAACUGACGCUGAGGUUCGAAAGCGUGGGUAGCAAACAGGAUUAGAUACCCUGGUAGU
rnacentral:rRNA from 1 species